GACGAACCGUGCGAACGUUAUUCGGAAUCACUGGGCUUAGAGCGCGCAUGCGGUCGUCCGAGUCGCGUGUGAAAGCCCCCGGCUCAACUGGGGAGGGUCACGCGAUACUGGUCGACUCGAAGGCAGGAGAGGGUAGUGGAAUUCCCGGUGUAGUGGUGAAAUGCGUAGAUAUCGGGAGGAACACCAGUGGCGAAGGCGACUACCUGGCCUGUUCUUGACGCUGAGGCGCGAAAGCUAGGGGAGCAAACGGG
rnacentral:rRNA from 1 species